rfam:Bacillus thuringiensis serovar israelensis ATCC 35646 sq1805, whole genome shotgun sequence.
CAGUCCUUUAACCCAACCCCGUGAGGUUGAGAAGGAAGUCGGAAUACAAUAUACGUAUGUUCUUUUUUGGGGAUACGUAUGCUUUUUUGGCCUUCUCAUCAUAUCAGGUGAGAAGGCCUUUUGUU